rnacentral:rRNA from 1 species
GAUGAACGCUAGCUCCAGGCUUAACACAUGCAAGUCGAGGGGAAACGAUGAGAGAGCUUGCUCUCUUAGGCGUCGACCGGCGCACGGGUGAGUAACGCGUAUCCAACCUACCCAUUACAGGGGGAUAACCUUGCGAAAGUAAGACUAAUACCCCAUGGCAUUUUAUGGUGGCAUCAUUAUAGGAUUAAAGAUUUAUUGGUAAUGGAUGGGGAUGCGUCUGAUUAGCUUGUUGGCGGGGUAACGGCCCACCAAGGCAACGGUCAGUAGGGGUUCUGAGAGGAAGGUACCCCACAUUGGAACUGAGACACGGACCAAACUCCUACGGGAGGCAGCAGUGAGGAAUAUUGGUCAAUGAGCGAGAGCUUGAACCAGCCAAGUAGCGUGCAGGAUGACGGCCCUAUGGGUUGUAAACUGCUUUUAUAGGGGAAUAAAGUGAGCUACGUGUAGUUUAUUGCAUGUACCCUAUGAAUAAGGACCGGCUAAGUCCGUG